rnacentral:rRNA from 1 species
GACGAACGCUGGCGGCGUGCUUAACACAUGCAAGUCGAACGGAAAGGCCCUGGUUUUUGGGGGUUCUCGAGUGGCGAACGGGUGGUUAACACGUGGGUAACCUGCUCUUGACUUUGGGGUAACUUCAUGUAACUGGGGCUACUACCGGCUAGGAGCUCCUACUGCAGGGUGGGGGUUGGAAAGUUCGGGCGGCUGGGGAUGGACUGGCGGCUUAUCAGCUUGUUGGUGGGGUAGUGGCUUACCAAGGCUUUGACGGAUAGGCGGCCUGAGAGGGUUAACGGCGACAUAGGGACUGAGAUACGGCGCAGAAGGCAACGGGAGACAGUAGGGGGGAAUAUUACACAAUAGGCCGAAGCGUGAUGCAGCGGCGCCGCGUGCGGAAUGAAGGCCUUUGGGGUAUGAACCGCUUUAGCAUGUGACGAAGCGUGAGUGACGGUAAUGGGCAAAGAAGCACCGGCUAAAUACGUG